CCUACGGGAGGCAGCAGUGAGGAAUAUUGGUCAAUGGCCGGAAGGCUGAACCAGCCAUGCCGCGUGAAGGUCAGUGCCCUAUGGGCGUUAAACUUCUGUUGUUCGGGAGCAAUAAUGGUCACGUGUGGCGAGACGAGAGUACCGUACGAAUAAGCAUCGGCUAACUCCGUGCCAGCAGCCGCGGUAAUACGGGGGGUGCAAGCGUUAGCCGGAAUUAUUGGUUUUAAAGGGUGCGUAGGCUGGGAGGUAAGUCAGCGGUGAAAUGCCCCCGCUCAACGGGGGGAAGUGCCAUUGAUACUGCCAGGCUGGAAUGCGGAUGAGGUGGGAGGAAUGUGUGGUGUAGCGGUGAAAUGCAUAGAUAUCACACAGAACACCAAUUGCGAAGGCAUCUCACGAAUCCGCGAUUGACGCUGAUGCACGAAAGCGUGGGUAGCAAACAGGAUUAGAUACCCGAGUAGUC
rnacentral:rRNA from 1 species